rnacentral:tRNA from 1 species
GCGUCAUUAGCUCAGCUGGAUAGAGUAGUGCACUACGAAUGCAAAGGUCUGGGGUUCGAAUCCCUAAUGACGCA